UUCCAUCUCACGAGUGUUUUGAGAUACAGAGGAAAGGCCUACACGGCCUCCGCCGCCGAAGUUCGUCGGAAAUGGAGCAGAGGUGGUUUUGAGAUUUGAAAACUUUCUAAAAGGGGGAAAGUAACCGGGUUGGUAAGGGGGUCAGACAAAAGUCAGUUUAGUACCCAUGAUUAGAAAGGCAAUAAACCAGAAAGGUUAAAACCGUGGGAAAGUCAAACCAGCUCUACCAAUACUGCCUCGAGAAAGUCGCCUGGAAGAGAAAGUUUUGCUUUUUUUUUUGCUAAAAUGAUAUAUAAAUAUGGCUAAGAUAAAAAUUGUAAAAAUGUGUGUAUGUUUUUUUUGAGGUAAUUGCAUUGUAGAACCAACAGAAAAAAAUAAAUUAAGUAAAUAUUUUACCUCAAGAUCACCACAAAAUCAGCCUUUUCCUUCUUUUUGUUGAAUGAAAGCUCUCUCCUUCUUUUCAUAUGCAAUAACAUCUUGAUACACUUUCUUUGUCCUCUUCUUCGAUGGCUUAACCGGUGGAGAGCACGAUCAUCUAACUCUUCAACCACCUCACCUCCUCUGUUAUCCUCUCUGCACGCUAUUCCAUCUGCUCUCCCUCCGGUCAGGCCACCUCCUUCUCAACCUCAAUCAGCUUCACCUUUAAUAUCGUUUGCAACCAUCUUUUCCUCUACGAGUACGACCGUCGUCACUUCCUCCCGACAUCUCUUCUUCUCCUCAACUUCGUAUGAUAAAAUGAACAAUAAUAAGCUUUGUUUCCUUUUCCUGGAUCUCACGUGAGAGAAACAGGGUAGCUGAUUGUUUAGCAAAGCAGGUUUUGUCUGCUGAACUUGCCAUUAUGGCCCCAACCAACUCUGUUUAAGAGCUUUAAUGAAUGAAAUGUGUUUCAAAAAAAAAAUGAACAAUAAGAAAAAAUGAACAGUAAAAAACAUGUAUUAUAUUGUUGUGUACUAAUUUCUCUUAUUUUUGAGUACACAAUAGUAUUUGUGAAGCCAUAAAUAUUGUGUGAUACAUAGACUUAUUGCUGACACUAAUCUAAAAUUUGUUUCAGCAAAUAAUAUAAAAUCAAAUUAGUUCAUAAAUAUAGCAUACAUGUUGUUAUAGUCAAAUAAAAUUGUAUAGUAUGAAGUUCAGUGAAUCAAGUAAAUCUGUUUUUUUGAACCAAGAAAUGUCAUCUCAUGACACCUUCUUUGUCAUAUUUUUUUUUUGGGUCAAACGUUAACCUUAUUUGUCAUCUUAAUCGCCAUCUCUGUCACUGAUGUGUGGUUUUUCUUUCUGUUAUCUCCCAUUUGAUUUGCACAUCAUCUUGUAUAGUAUACUAUGUUGUUGUUCUGAUUGAUUAUGUUAUACUGUUUUGCAUGUUUCA